rnacentral:rRNA from 1 species
GGGGGGGGGGUGCUUACCUGCAAGUCGAACGGGAUCCAUCAGGCUUUGCUUGGUGGUGAGAGUGGCGAACGGGUGAGUAAUGCGUGACCGACCUGCCCCAUACACCGGAAUAGCUCCUGGAAACGGGUGGUAAUGCCGGAUGCUCCGACUCCUCGCAUGGGGUGUCGGGAAAGAUUUCAUCGGUAUGGGAUGGGGUCGCGUCCUAUCAGGUAGUCGGCGGGGUAACGGCCCACCGAGCCUACGACGGGUAGCCGGCCUGAGAGGGCGACCGGCCACAUUGGGACUGAGAUACGGCCCAGACUCCUACGGGAGGCAGCAGUGGGGAAUAUUGCACAAUGGGCGCAAGCCUGAUGCAGCGACGCCGCGUGCGGGAUGACGGCCUUCGGGUUGUAAACCGCUUUUGAUCGGGAGCAAGCCUUCGGGUGAGUGUACCUUUCGAAUAAGCACCGGCUAACUACGUGCCAGCAGCCGCGGUAAUACGUAGGGUGCAAGCGUUAUCCGGAAUUAUUGGGCGUAAAGGGCUCGUAGGCGGUUCGUCGCGUCCGGUGUGAAAGUCCAUCGCUUAACGGUGGAUCUGCGCCGGGUACGGGCGGGCUGGAG